CCUGGCUCAGGAUGAACGCUGGCGUAUGCCUAACACAUGCAAGUCGUACGAGUAGUUUUUAACUCUAGUGGCGGACGGGUGAGUAACACGUGAGAAUUUGCCUUUAGGAGGGGGAUAACAAUUGGAAACGAAUGCUAAUACCCCAUAUGCUUUUGAGUGAAACGGAUUUAUCCGCCUAGAGAGAAGCUCGCGGCUGAUUAGCUUGUUGGUAAGGUAAGAGCUUACCAAGGCGACGAUCAGUAUCUGGUUUGAGAGGACGAUCAGACACACUGGAACUGAGACACGGUCCAGACUCCUACGGGAGGCAGCAGUGGGGAAUUUUCCGCAAUGGGCGAAAGCCUGACGGAGCAAUACCGUGUGAGGGAAGAAUGCCUAUGGGUUGUAAACCUCUUUUUUCAGGGAGGAAUAAAAUGACGUGUACCUGAAGAAUAAGCAUCGGCUAACUCCGUG
rnacentral:rRNA from 1 species